UCCUACGGGAGGCAGCAGUGGGGAAUAUUGGACAAUGGACCACAAGUCUGAUCCAGCAAUUCUGUGUGCACGAUGACGUUUUUCGGAAUGUAAAGUGCUUUCAGUCGGGAAGAAGUCAGUGACGGUACCGACAGAAGAAGCGACGGCUAAAUACGUGACAGCAGCCGCGGUAAUACGUAUGUCGCAAGCGUUAUCCGGAUUUAUUGGGCGUAAAGCGCGUCUAGGCGGCAAGGAAAGUCUGAUGUGAAAAUGCGGAGCUCAACUCCGUAUGGCGUUGGAAACUGCCUUACUAGAGUACUGGAGAGGUAGGCGGAACUACAAGUGUAGAGGUGAAAUUCGUAGAUAUUUGUAGGAAUGCCGAUGGGGAAGCCAGCCUACUGGACAGAUACUGACGCUAAAGCGCGAAAGCGUGGGUAGCAAACAGGAUUAGAUACCCUGGUAGUCC
rnacentral:rRNA from 1 species